GGGAACCUCACCAGUCCCUGACACCGGAAGGAUUGACAGAUUGAGAGUUCUUUCUCGAUUCGGUGGGUGGUGGUGCAUGGCCGUUCUUAGUUGGUGGAGUGAUUUGUCUGGUUAAUUCCGAUAACGAACGAGACUCUGUCCUGCUAAAUAGUGUCAGCCUCUCUUUUGGGCUGACAAUUCUUCUUAGAGGGACUGGCGGCACCUAGCCGCACGAAAUAGAGCAAUAA
rnacentral:rRNA from 1 species